AGCUACGGCCAUGCCACCCUGAACAAGCCUGAUCUUGUCUGAUCUUGGAAGCUAAGCAGGGUCGGGCCUGGUUAGUACUGGGAUGAGAGACUACCAAGAAAGACCAGAUGCUGUAGACA
rnacentral:rRNA from 1 species